rnacentral:rRNA from 1 species
CCUACGGGCGACAGCAGUGGGGAAUAUUGCACAAUGGGGGGAACCCUGAUGCAGCGACGCCGCGUGAGUGAAGAAGUAUUUCGGUAUGUAAAGCUCUAUCAGCAGGGAAGAAAAUGACGGUACCUGACUAAGAAGCCCCGGCUAACUACGUGCCAGCAGCCGCGGUAAUACGUAGGGGGCAAGCGUUAUCCGGAUUUACUGGGUGUAAAGGGAGCGCAGACGGCUGUGCAAGUCUGGAGUGAAAGGCGGGGGCCCAACCCCCGGACUGCUCUGGAAACUGUAAAGCUGGAGUGCAGGAGAGGUAAGCGGAAUUCCUAGUGUAGCGGUGAAAUGCGUAGAUAUCAGGAGGAAAACCGGCGGCGAAGGCGGCCUGCUGGACUGAAACUGACGUUGAGGCUCGAAAGCGUGGGGAGCAAACAGGAUUAGAUACCCGGGUAGUC